rnacentral:rRNA from 1 species
CCUACGGGAGGCAGCAGCAAGGAAUUUUCCACAAUGGGCGCAAGCCUGAUGGAGCAACGCCGCGUGGGGGAUGACGCCCUUCGGGGUGUAAACCCCUUUUCCGGGGGACGAAGCAAGUGACGGUACCCCGGGAAGAAGGCCCGGCUAACUACGUGCCAGCAGCCGCGGUAAGACGUAGGGGCCGAGCGUUGUCCGGAGUUACUGGGCGUAAAGCGCGCGCAGGCGGUCGUCCGCAUCGGCGGUGAAAGCCCCCCGCUCAACGGGGGAGGGUCCGUCGAGAUGGGGCGACUGGAGGCAGGGAGAGGCGAGUGGAAUUCCGGGUGUAGUGGUGAAAUGCGUAGAGAUCCGGAGGAACACCAGUGGCGAAGGCGGCUCGCUGGACCUGACCUGACGCUGAGGCGCGAAGGCGUGGGGAGCGAACGGGAUUAGAUACCCCGGUA